GAUCUCCCUCUGCUCGGUCUCCGGUCGAUCUCCUCUGCUCGAUCUCCCUCUGCUCGAUCUCUGCUCGAUCUCCUCUGGUCGAUCUCCCUCUGCUCGGUCUCCGGUCGAUCUCCUCUGCUCGGUCUCCCUCUGUUCGAUCUCCCUCUCACAGAACCCAUCCAAUCACAGAACGCAUCUCGGCCUCACUUGCAUCUGAAAUUGAAGCCUCAAUCAACCAAUUUUCGAAUCAAGCAAAUCGGAGGCAGUGGGGUUCUAUAUUCCCCUUUGACUUACAUUUUUGAUGAAGAAACUCCAAGAUGGCGUGAACUUCUCUCAAAACUUGGCCUCUAAGCCCUUGGAGACCUUGUUGCAUAUUUUGUAGCUAUAUCAAUGCUAAAGAUUUUGUUGAGCACAUCUUUGAUACCUGCAAUUGUUUAAAAGUAGAAAGGAUGCACUGCAUGAGGAUUUUAUUUUGAAAAGUCGGAUCUUUGUACCCUACUAUAUGAGUCGAAACAUGACAUUGUAGUCAGACUGGUCAUGUAAGACAUGUUUUGUAUGUUGUAAGCAAUUUUUCUCUAUUCUUCUGUUGUGGUUAUAUAGCUGAAAUCUGCCUGCAAUUUGGUUAAA